rnacentral:pre_miRNA from 1 species
AGAGGACAGAAGGAAACUGUUCUUUCCAACACAAGGUGGUUUUUGGGACUGAUCUUUGCUGCUGAAUCAUUGGUGCAUGAGCAUGUCAAAGCAGACAGAUGAAUAAGACCUUCGGACAUGUUCUUGCUCCAAUGAUACAGGAGCUGAGCUCGGUUUUCGCCUCCUUUUUUUGGACUGAAGGGUUUCCUUAUUAUUCCUCU